rnacentral:lncRNA from 1 species
AUACCUUUAUAAAUGAAGAUGAAUAAGAUCACUAUCAUGUUUCUUGUAAUUUGUUUAGUGAGUGAUAUAAAUUAGAGCUUACACCCUUGAUUACAGGGAAGGACAAAAGUGUGUGUAGAUACGAAAAACAUAACUCAAGACAAGGAAUGAAACAAUGAAGAUGUCACACCCCGAAAACCAAAGGCGGAAACAUUUCCGGGGUUGACUCCACGUUGAGUAUCAAAUCCAAUGUACAUAGUAAUCACAGUAAACAACCAUUACAUUACAUAUAUUUGAAAGUUUACAUUUGUUUCAAAAGUAAAUUGUACAAGUUUUAUACAUAUAUCAUAUGAACAAAAGUUGAGACGAGUCUUCUGAGCACUCUGUCUUCACCAAAAGAUAUCGCCGGGUACCUGUCUAACGUGGACCUGAGAAUACAAGCAGUUUGAAAAUCAGCAUAAAGCUGGUGAGUUCAUAAGCAGUUUUGUUUUGUGAAAAUGUACCAGUUUCCUUUAGUUUUUCCGAAAAGGUUUGUUAUCCAAGAAAAUCUCAUAUUUUCUUAUGUUAAACAGUUUAGUUAUCUUUCAUUACAGUUCAAUUACGCGUUAUACGAUACCCCAGGAAAAUCCCAUAUUUUCCUAAAUGCAAGACCGAUUGAAUAACACAGAGUAUAGUUUAAUACACAAAACUAUAUAUUGAGAAUCAUAGGAUUACUAUCCCGAAUUAGAUAUAAAAUACUUUAAUAUACACGAACUGUAGAUAGAAAGUAGUUUGAAAACCUUGGGACUAACAUCCCGAACUAGAUACAAGAUAGUUUGAUAUACUUGAAAAUAUAGAUUGAAAACCAUGGGAAUACCAUCCCGGACUAGAUACAAAAUAGUUUGUUAGAAACCAUGGGAUUACUAUCCCGAACUAGAUAUAUGAUAGUUUGAUAAAACCAUGGGAUCACUAUCCCGAAUUAGAUAUAAGAUUUUUUAAUAAAACCAUGGGAUCACUAUCCCGAACUAGAUAUAGAUUCUAACCAUAGGAAUAACAUCCUGCAAUAGAUAUGAACCCUGUAGACUAAAAACCAUGGGAUUACCAUCCCGAACUAGAUAUAAGAUCUAAAGAUAGAAGAUUGAUAUAAAAUCAAAUCCAAAACCAAAGCCGUGAAUAAACUUAUAUUAAUACGUAUUGUGAGUCGGGUAACCAUGCUGAUACAACAACGAGACCUCCUUGACGCUUGUCAGACGUCGGACGAUAUCCAGAAUUUGUCACCCCAGGCGUGCCCGCCUAACUGUAGCUAGCAGUUAAGGUGUGGGAUUGUCAGUCCCGAAUAGAUCUAUUCACAAAUUCCUCGCUCUCCCUCCAGGAGACUCUGGUUACACUUCCGGGGAGGAUUUACUGAUCAUCCAUAAAGGGUAGUGACUAACUCACAAACUAGUACUAAACUAUUAACAGGGUUCUCAUACGAUAUCAAACAUACAAAAGAUUAUGAAACAUAAUACAGUGAAUAUAGGUACAUACUAUGAAACUAUCUGACAAUACAUUCAAAUGAUACGGAGAUAAACUGAAUCAGACAUAGUUUAUCUAAUAACUUUAUAUACAUAUCAGUACAUGAUAAAACGAACACUAAAGAACCCCAAAUUAUUCCUAUAAUAAUUUGAUUAGUUUGAUUAUUUUCUUAACUAAAAUCCAUUUAGUUGUACUUGAUAAAUCAUCCCUUAUGCUCAGCAUAAUACAUAAAGGGUAAAAAUGUUUAUAAGUUUGCCAGAUAUUAUUUGAAACAUAUCAAUGUUAUAAUUCGAAAACACUUAUAGUUUGCUUGUAUUCCCCCCUGAAAACAUUGAAAAACACGGAAAAAGCGUAGGGGUAUGAACUCACCGGACGAGAAACAUGACGAUUUAGGAUGCUAAACGUUGGAUCGGGGCUUGCAAACGUACGAUAUUCCUAUGUAUAAUGAAAAGAUACACAUUUGUAUCUAAUUAGGACUUAGAUUAUUUAAUUGUUAGGGACAAACACUUUUAGUCGCGGAUACACCCCAUUACAAGUGUGUGGAAGGACUCGGGUGGCGUUUAAGGACUUGAAUGACCGGGAAAUGGAGUUUACUCUUCAAGAGUAAACUCAUACAAGAGUUUUCAGCCAAUAACACCCACUCCCCAUGAGUUUACGGCAGUAAACUCAUGGUGGGGUCAUUUGUGGGCAAAAUGGCUAUUGACACUUAAGGGGAAAAUUUCUAGGUUUGGUUUAAGGGCUUGGAAUAAAUUUUAAACACCAAAUGGACAUACUUAAGGGAGUUUACGGCCUAGCAUGGGACUCAUGGCCGUAAACUCCUAUAUACCCAUGAAUAAUUGUGUUAAUGAUUCCAAACAAAUCACAUGUGAUUGCUAAAAUUGUUCCAAGGCCUUACAUGAAUUUUUAUGGAACUUUUGAGGUGUUUUUGGAGUUUACGGCCCAUGAGACCCCCCUCAUGGCCGUAAACUCUCCUAGAGUGUGAUUCAUUAUGUUUUAAGGCCAAAAAACUUGUUUGUAUACACUUCUAAAAAUUAUUCUAAGGCUUUAGGGGUGUUAAAGUGGCUUUCUAACACCUUUGGAGGAGUUUACUCCCCAUAUUAUGGAGUUUACGGCCCAAGCAUAAGCCUUGGCCGUAAACUCUCAUUUGUCCCUCAAAAUAUAUGUUUAAGGCCCUUAAACCAUUUUUAGUUGGUUCUAUGAUUUAUUCCAAGGCUUUUGGUGAAGGUAUAUGACUUUAUAACAUGUUGAAAAUGAGUUUAUACUCAUGUUUGAGGGGUUUACGGCCCAAAGCAUGUGCCUUGGCCGUAAACUCCUUCAAAUCCCUCAAAAUCCAUGUCUAAAGUGUUCUAAGUCCAUUCCAUGAAGUCAUUUAGCCAUAUCUAAGUCCCAAAAUUGUUUAGGAGGGGUUUAAAGGCAUAAAAACCCCUUUACUAUGUGUUUACGGCCCAAGCUCCUUCCAGGGCCGUAAACUCAUAUACAAGGUCUUAAUUCAUGUUUUAAUCUCGAAUUUGAAGGCCAAAUAUGCUAUACAAUGAGUUUAGGAAGGUACCUUAGAGAUUUGAGGCCUUAAAAUUGAGUUUUGGACCCUUAAACUUAGAUUUAGGAGAGAGGUUAGAGAGAGAGUAGUGAGAGAGAGAAAAAGCUUCAAAUGAAAGGUUUAACACGUUUAUAUAGGUCGCAAAACUUGGACACGGUGGAAUUCUACCCGAUACCGGCAUUAAACGGGGCUUUUGGUCGCACCCGAUUAAGUUUCUGAGACUCGGCGGGGACGUUCCUAAUAUUUAUGAAAUACAUAUUUUAGGCUAAUUUCAUGAGUUCCUAAGGGGUUUGGACACUCAUUAGCAUCAAUUAAAUAUAUAUAAGUUAAAUUAACUUAACCCAAAAACGACAUCAGAAUGUUUCGAUAUACGACGAGUUAUACGGGUAGAACGGGGUUUUCGGCGAUGAACAACUUCGGGUUGUUACAGAAGAAAUAGUCACCUUCCGUUGAAGAACCUUGGCACUCUGUUCUUUCUCGUUAAAGCGAAGUAAUUGGGGCUUUCUUCAAGUUCAAAUUCAAACUUUCUUAUUAUGCUUCAGAUUCAGCUUCAGAAGCAGAAGCAGAAGAAGUAGCACCAGCAGAAGCAGAAGAAGUAGAAGCAGAAGUAGAAGCAGCAGCAAAAGCAGAAGCAGCAGAGGAAGAGGAAGAUGAAGAGGAAGAGGAAGAGGCAGCAGCGCCAGCAAAAGAAGAAGAAGAAGAAGUGACCUGUGACAGCUCACAUCCCGAUAAACUUAAAACAGAGAGUUUCCGGAGACUGAGAAUAACACCUACCCAAUGAUUUGUUUUGGCCAAUGAAAUCCCAUCCAUGUGAAGUUCCUCCAAAUGAGAUAGAUUAGACAACCACUCGAGGUUCUCAAAUCUACACCUUCCAGCAUAUGAAAGGAGAAGCCAUUGCAAGUUGGUGAGGUUUCCGAACUCUGGAGGAAUGGUUCCAUGAAAAGAGUUAGAUGAAAGGUCAAGGUACCAUAAUUCAGUCAAGGAACCAAUGGACCUGGGAAUGGUACCAUUAAGAUUAUUGCCGCCAAGGAGAAGGGACCUUAAAUGAGUCAACGAACCAAUGAAGGUGGGAAUGGUUCCAUGAAAAGAAUUUCCGGAAAGAUCAAGAUAGUUCAAGUAGGUUAAGUUAACCAAUGAAUGGCUAAUCUCACCUACAAGACCACAGGACAUCAGAUCAAGCUCUGUGACAUGACCACCUUUUUGGUUGUUGCACGUCACUCCACUCCAUUCACAGCAGUUGUCUUGUUCAGCUGUCCACGUAGAGAGACGAUCAUAUAAGGGUCUUGAAUGUGAGAUUUGAAAUGAAGGAGACCAUCUCUCUCCUUCUCAAAACACUUAUCAUCUCCUCCUCCCACUUCUGCGCGCCAAUUGGUUGGCAGUUGUAGUCUCAAGACAGAAGAAGAGAAGUGAGAAUAUUAUAAAAACACAAGGACUCAUGAUGUAAAUGCAAAUCUUGGUGAUUUUUUUUGUUUGUAUGGAUGAAAAUUUAAAGAUGCUCCAUGCAGCUUUAUAUAGUGCUGCAAACUGUGAAAAUGAAGGAUUCAGUAAUUCUCGUGAGAACGGUAGGAACAUAAUUCUUUUUUCCUUUUUUUUUCAUCAAUAUGAAAACAUUUUAUAAGGCUAAAAAAUAAUAAAUUCUGGGAUUUUUUUUAUUAAAAUAAAACACUAAAAAGAUGAAAAAUCAAUUCCAUAUUCAUCAAUGAAAUAAAAUGCGCUAUAAAACACAUCCUACAGCAACAACCAUAUAGAUGUCUAUUUAUAGGUCAUAAAAAGAUAUUAUGGUAUUUUUGUUUUUAUUUUUUAAAAAAAAAAUAAUGCCGUAAUAGAUAAAAAAAUUUAACAAUACUCCUCAAUGAAAACAUCAUAAUAAAAACUUUGUACAUCGAUAUGGAUGUAUAGCUGUACAACAUAAAAAUAUAUAAAUUUGGGUCUUUUGUUUUUUUUUCUUCGAAAAAUAAUAUUACCUUAAAAAAAAAUACUGAAAUUUAUUAUUUUUAUGCUCUAAAAAAAGAUAUCAAUAUAAAAGGUUCCUACCAUUUUUAACAAGAAUUAUCUUUCUUGCGUUUACACUUUAUACACACCUAGUGAGUUGUGAUUCGUGUGGAGCAUAAAAUCCUUAUUUUCCUUUGAAAUAGAACCAAAGUAUAAAAGAAAUUAGAAAAGACGAAUUGAAAUAAACUGCCCCAAAUCAAACGUUCAAAGAUUUAUACACUGUGUAAGGCAUAAAAGCCUUAUUUUCCUUGAAAUAGAACCAUUCAAACUAUAAAACAAAUUUAUAUUAAAAAAAAAAAAAAAAAAAAAAAAAGGACAAUUGUAAUGGAUAGCUAGCCCCAUAUUAGACUUUCAGGUCAUGGAAAUUUGUAUUUUUCCUAUACAUAUCUUUUUUCAUCUAGUCAUAUCUUUUGAUCCUCUCUUUAUGUCAUUGUAAAUUCACAAAAGCAAACCAAUCAUUCAGGAAAAAGGACAAAUGGUGGGUUAGUGCCUGGAAACAACCAUAUAUAGCUAGCUGUCCAGAUCAAGUGCUUAAUUAUUAAGCCUAUUAAGUCAUAAAGAAUCAGUCCCUAAUUGCAUAAGAGCUGAGUGAUAAAUGAUGAGUCUCCAGAGAAUGUAUUGGAUAAAAUAAGGCUAAUUAUUUAUGUAUUUUGGAUUGAAUGAACCAUUUGAAUAAGAGAAAACAACCAUUUUACCCUUCUAUCUAAAAGUAAUGUAGAAUACCAAGUUGUUGUUAAUUUGUGAGAACUAUUGAAAUUUUAAACUAAAAAUCACUUUUAUAUAUACGACCAUGAGACUUACAUAUGUUUGUCAAAAACUACCAUAACUGUCUUUUGUCAAAGCAAACUUGCAGUGUAAUCUUACCAUUAUUUUCUACAGAUAGAGCAAAAUCCUUUUGGCUUUUGCAAUGCAUUGUUUCCCCAGACAACAAAUCAGAAUGCAAACGACUUGUUAUAUUCAGAAACAUUGAAUUAAACCCCAAUUUAACAAGGAUUCAUGCCUCUCAUACUCCCCUUGGGUUAUUAAACAACUUCUAUUUAUGUCUAAUUGAGACAAUUCUUCCAAUCCUAUGCAGAUUUAAUCUCCUACACAGAUUUUUAUGAAACCAAUUAGAAAAGUUCCAACCUCCAACAUAAACAUUAACCCAGAAACAACUCUAAUUUAUGGAAUCUAUUAAAAAUUUGUCAAUUGAAACAAAAAGGCACCGUUUAACGUCAAAACUGAAAAUUAAUAAUAAUAAUAAUAUUAAAUGUGAGCAAGAGAAACAUUAUUCAACAGAAAAUGGAGAACAGAGAGUCGAGAAGAAAAAUCGAGAUUAAGAGAACAAAAAGAGAAUAGAUAUAUCGAGUAUUGAAUAGUUGAGAUGAUCCAACAACUUACCUGAUGGAAGACCGAGGGAGGAACGACGAAGACAUCUUGGAACAGUGAUGGAAGAUGGAGAAGAGAAGACGAAGUGAAGGCUGUAAAAACUGAAAAGAAAAGUAGGGUUAAAGGAGGACGAGGAUAAACGAGUAAAAAUCAAAUUCAUAAGCUAAAAGGGGAUAACAAAACCAAACCCACAAACCAAAAAAUCAAUAAUCAACUAGAAAUGUAACCCAUGCUAUGGACGGAGGCGUUUUAGAGCUGCAAAUGUUUUUUUUCUUUAUUUAUAUAAUGCAUGUUUGUUUUUGAAGAUGAAGUUUUUCUGUUAAUGUAAGACAAUUGAUAAAUUGAAAACCACAUCACAAUGUUAUUACAAAUGUAAAAUUGUAACUCUAAAAUAUUUAGAGUUUUCCCAAGAUAUUCUGAUGAUGGAGUAAUGAAUUUGAUACAAACCUUCAUCAAUCGGUACUAAUUCCCUGCAAGCUUUUUACUAUUUUCACCUAAGGGGUAAAAACAGAAAGAAAUCAACAUUAUUUGAUUCACAAUGAUUGCAAGUAUUUUUUUCAUUUAAUUAAGAAUGCAAAAUGUACUUGCUCAUCUUUACAAAUAUAACCUUUCAUCCACCUCGAAAAUGGCAAUAUUCAUAUUCUCAUGCAUUGCUACACUCCUUUCUUUUGAGUACCAAAAAUCAUACCUACCUAAAAUAUUUUCACUCUUCACCAACAUACCAUAGGGACAAAACCUAUAUCCCGUGCAAUUUUGGUCAAUCCUAAAAGUUGUUAGUAGAAAAUAAAUUUGUUUUAAAAGGAUAAAGAACAUGCUCCAUGAUUCAAAAUAAUGGAAUAGAAAUGAAAUUAGAGUCUAUAUACUUGGAUGGAAUGGAAUAAGCAAGGUUGCUUUGGUAGAAAUGGAACAAACUUACUUAAUAUAUAUUUUAAAGUUAAAGAUAAUAGAAGCUUACUAACCCAAAUAAGGUAUAACAAAAAUAAGAGUGAGCUACAAAUUUGGUACCUAUGGCUAUACUACAGUUAAAAUUGCAAAACUCGCCGGUUUUAAGAGCCCCUUUCUUUGUAUCUUGCAUGGUGUCCAUCGUUUUGAAACACUACAAAAUUUCACUGACAAACUAUUAGUAUUCAGUUCGGAUAAAGCUAAAGGAUAAAGCUAAAUCAGUUAAACAAACCCAUGAAUUAACUAACCCCUAAUCAAAAUCCUAAUACGCUGACUGUCGGCCAAAGCCUUCCUGCAAGCAUACUGAAAAAGAAAAAAAAAUCUUAAAGAUAGAAACUGAUACCAUUUCACUUCACAAUCCACUAUCAUCACUAUUAACAUAUAAAUUUGAAACCAAAUCAUAAAAGUAUUUCAUAGGAUUCACUUGUUCUUCAUCGAUCUGAUAUUACAAGUGCUUGUCGUCCAAAAAUCAUCAGAAAGAAUAGAUAUUUUCAUAGUUUUGCCUUGUACACAUAUCAUAAGUAAUGAACUCUCAAUGUACUUGAUGUAAAUUUGGACUUGAAAUAAUGUCACAAAAAGGGUAAGUGCAAUGUUAUUAUGUGAUAUUUAAGAAAGUAGAAUGCUAAUUUUCAACUUCAAAGAGCUAACUAAAAGUAAACACCAAAUUGGAUACAUACACAAAAUAUUACAUAAGAAUUGCAAUUGUUCCAUUUUAUUUCAAUCUUUCAGCUGUUUUGCAUUGUUCCAUGUCAAUGAAAUUGAUAAAUUUAGAUAUUUAAUACAUAAUUCAAAAUCAAGAAUUAUUAAAAUUAUUUAUAUUUUUAUACUGACACUUUAACCAUUUCUUGGAAAUGUGGAAACGUAGCUAUAACAGAUUAUAUGCUGGGGACACAAAUAUUGUCUUCUACUAAUAUAUUCUGGGAAAUUUAAUAAUUAGAAAAUAUGACUAUGGUACAUAUAAAGUGAUGUUCAAUGUAAAAAAAAAUGGUCGUUUCUAAUAAUUUACCUUUAUGGGGAAGUUGCUAACAGUAACAUUGAUACACACCAUUACACCUUAUGCAAAACAUAAGCUUGUUUGGGUCACCGGUCCUUUUACAUACCUGGGUUUUAGAAAAGAUAUGUAUACAAAUUAAAAAAGCAGCAUUUUUAUUAUAUUCAAAGUCCUUACCGGUAAUAUAGGCUAAAUACAAAACUCAAAAUCAAAAAACAACAUCAUGAACGCCUUAAAAGAGCUCAAAAAACAAUUAAAAUCUACAACCCCUGUGAUAAAUGAACUAACAACCUAGAUCAAUGGAUUUACCUUCGCAUUCCUGCAAGUGCCAAUACAUCGGACUUAUAAUUCUUUGCUACUUCAUAGUUACUCAGACAACCACCUAAAUCAUUAUAGCAAACCCUCCCUUCCGUUGAAACGGCUUCUAAAUCUAAGAAAAUUAGCACAGGAGCAAUCUUGACACCCAAAUAUUAGACAAUAGUUUUCUCAUCCAACACGCCAGAGAACAAAUUGGCUGCUAAAAACAAACCUUUUAAGGAUUAACAUAACAAACUUGUUAAAUUUUAGAAAACCUGACACAAAUACCUGGAGAAAAAAAAAAGCAUACAUCUAUAAAAAAUUUCUUGCUUCUUGCUUUCAAAAGACUGUUUGAGGGAGAUGGGGGGUCAAUUUUUCAUAGGGAAUAGCUCUGCGAGCUGCAAAAAGAAAAUGAAAACAUAAAAAUCAACAUGUUGACAUCAUAAAAUCCCGAAAUAAUCAUACCGAUAUAAUAAGAAUCUAGGUCAAUAGAGCAUAAAUCAUAAAUCGAUGACUUCAACAUAAAUCAGAUACAUAACUCCAAAAUAAGUACCGACGAUGUCAAUAGCGUAAGUCUGAAGAGUGCGGUUGAAUUAUGAUCGAUGAAUUUGAUCAGAACUUGAAGAGGAACCCACCGACAAAAAAAAAAAACUGUAUUAGAAUGCUUCAAAUUCAAUGAAUUGAGACAAUAAGUAUCUAGCCAGGAAGAUUAAAAAACAGAUAAAAUAAAUAAAAUGAAUCGACUUCUUGAAGAUGUUGAAAAUUACCAAAUUGGAACCCCGACUUCAAAUUAAAUCUGACAACCUGGAACAUGAAGGACGGUAACGGCGGCAACAAAUGUUUGAGGGUAUCUAAAUUCUUAGUCAAAGAAGAAGCAGAAAGAUCGGUGGCUGAUAUGGAUAACAGAAAAAGAUAACCCACCUAGGGUUUGGAAGUGAGACAGGGAAGUCGAUCGAAAAAAGAAGUGAGCUUCACAAAUUCCAGAAGUAGGAAUUAAUAGGCUUCAUCUCGUUUCCAGAAAAAUGAACGAUUAGCUUGAAGCAGGAAAAGUUCGUCUGGUGGUAGCAAUAGAUGAUUUUGUGGGUUCAUUAGUUGGGAAUUUUGAGGUCUUCUUCUCAACCUGUACCGGCACAGCUUUGAGCGAUUAGGGACGAUCUGCCUCUUUUCAAUCUGCUAUGCUUUUCGCCCCUCAAUCAGUCGAUUGUAAGUGUUGUUGGACCGCGAGAAGUAGUAUUGGAGACUUUGUGAUCGGGUGAGAGAUGGUCUGUAGGAAUUGUUCCAUCUUGUAAACGAUUGAAUGUUCAAAUAGAUGGUGAUUGAAAGAAAUCAGGGUUUGUGAGACAUUGUUGCGAUCGGAAUGAACAACGGGAUGGGGAAUGCAGCUGCAGAUGCCAGCUUGGCCGGAACAGCCAUAAAAAACAGGUGCAUCAAACAGAAACGAUAAUGUAAAAAAAACAGAGUAGCAUAAAGAAAAUAUAGAAGCCUAACGGAGAGAAAUUACCUGGGGAAGAAAAGAACGUACAACGAAAAGCAAAAGCGGCGGAGUUUCAGCGAAGAAGAAUGCGGAAGAAAGAAGAGAGUACAAGAGAGUACCACGUGGAAAGUGAAGGACAGUGAAAAAGACACGUAUAAUCUACAAUGAUUCGUCAGCAACCGGCGGAUGAAG